CGUAGGUGGCAAGCGUUGUCCGGAAUUAUUGGGCGUAAAGCGCGCGCAGGCGGUCCUUUAAGUCUGAUGUGAAAGCCCACGGCUCAACCGUGGAGGGUCAUUGGAAACUGGGGGACUUGAGUACAGAAGAGAAGAGUGGAAUUCCACGUGUAGCGGUGAAAUGCGUAGAGAUGUGGAGGGACACCAGUGGCGAAGGCGACUCUUUGGUCUGUAACUGACGCUGAGGCGCGAAAGCGUGGGGAGCAAACAGGAUUAGAUACCCUGGUAGUCCACGCUGUAAACGAUGAGUGCUAAGUGUUAGAGGGUUUCCGCCCUUUAGUGCUGCAGCUAACGCAUUAAGCACUCCGCCUGGGGAGUACGGCCGCAAGGCUG
rnacentral:rRNA from 1 species